UACGGAGGGUGCGAGCGUUGUCCGGAUUUACUGGGCGUAAAGGGCGCGUAGGCGGCCACCUCAGGUCGACUGUGAAAUCUCCGGGCUUAACCCGGAAAGGUCAGCCGAUACUGCGGGGCUAGAGUGCAGAAGGGGCAACUGGAAUUCUCGGUGUAGCGGUGAAAUGCGUAGAUAUCGAGAGGAACACCUGCGGCGAAGGCGGGUUGCUGGGCUGACACUGACGCUGAGGCGCGAAAGCUAGGGGAGCGAACGGG
rnacentral:rRNA from 1 species